rnacentral:rRNA from 1 species
UGGGGGAUAGCCGGCCCAACGGCCGGGUAAUACCGCAUACGUUCAUCGAGCGGCAUCGCUUGGUGAGGAAACCUCCGGGGCAAAUCGAGGUGCUCGCGGCCUAUCAGCUAGUUGGUGAGGUAACGGCUCACCAAGGCGACGACGGGUAGCUGGUCUGAGAGGAUGGCCAGCCACAUUGGGACUGCGACACGGCCCAGACUCCUACGGGAGGCAGCAGUGGGGAAUAUUGCGCAAUGGACGAAAGUCUGACGCAGCGACGCCGCGUGUGGGAUGAAGCCUUUCGGGGCGUAAACCACUGUUGCCCGGGACGAACCUCCCCAUUCGUGGGGACUGACGGUACCGGGUGAGGAAGCACCGGCUAACUCUGUGCCAGCAGCCGCGGUAAUACAGAGGGUGCGAGCGUUGUCCGGAAUCACUGGGCGUAAAGGGCGCGUAGGUGGCUAGGUAAGCGUGUGGUGAAAGUCCGGGGCUCAACCCCGGAUCUGCCGUGCGAACUGCCAAGCUUGAGCGAUGUAGAGGCAGGUGGAAUUUCGGGUGUAGCGGUGGAAUGCGUAGAGAUCCGAAAGAACACCAGUGGCGAAGGCGGCCUGCUGGGCAUUUGCUGACACUGAGGCGCGACAGCGUGGGGAGCAAACAGGAUUAGAUACCCUGGUAGUCCACGCCGUAAACGAUGGGUACUAGGUGUCUGGGGGAGCGACCCCCUGGGUGCCGACGCUAACGCAUGAAGUACCCCGCCUGGGGAGUACGGCCGCAAAGGCUGAAACUCAAAGGAAUUGACGGGGGCCCGCACAAGCGGGUGGAGCAUGUGGUUUAAUUCGACGCAACGCGAAGAACCUUACCUAGGCUUGACAUGCUGGAGAAAGCUUGCGGAAACGUGAGCCCCUCUUCGGAGUUCCAGCACAGAUGCUGCAUGGCUGUCGUCAGCUCGUGUCGUGAGAUGUUGGGUUAAGUCCCGCAACGAGCGCAACCCUCACCCUUAGUUACCAGCGGGUAAAGCCGGGGACUCUAGGGGGACUGCCGGUGCCAAACCGGAGGAAGGCGGGGAUGACGUCAAGUCAUCAUGGCUUCUUACGUCUAGGGCUACACACGUGCUACAAAUGGGCCGGACAGCGGGUCGCUAGCUCGCGAGAGUAUGCCAAUCCCCAAACCGGUCCUCAGUUCGGAUUGUAGUCUG